CUCCGGUUGAUCCUGCCGGACCCGACUGCUAUCAGAGUGGGACUAAGCCAUGCGAGUCAACGCAGCAAUGCGUGGCAUACGGCUCAGUAACACGUAGUCAACAUGCCCAGGGGACGUGGAUAACCUCGGGAAACUGAGGAUAAACCGCGAUAGGCCAAGGUUUCUGGAAUGGACACUGGCUGAAACCUACAUGGCCCCUGGAUUGGACUGCGGCCGAUCAGGCUGUUGGUGAGGUAAUGGCCCACCAAACCUGUAACCGGUACGGGCUUUGAGAGAAGGAGCCCGGAGAUGGGCACUGAGACAAGGGCCCAGGCCCUAUGGGGCGCAGCAGGCGCGAAACCUCUGCAAUAGGCGAAAGCUUGACAGGGUUACUCUGAGUGAUGCCCGCUAAGGGCAUCUUUUGGCACCUCUAAAAAUGGUGCAGAAUAAGGGGUGGGCAAGUCUGGUGUCAGCCGCCGCGGUAAUACCAGCACCCCGAGUGGUCGGGACGAUUAUUGGGCCUAAAGCAUCCGUAGCUUGUUCUGCAAGUCCUCCGUUAAAUCCACCUGCUCAACAGAUGGGCUGCGGGGGAUACUACAGGGCUAGGAGGCGGGAGAGGCAAACGGUACUCAGUGGGUAGGGGUAAAAUCCUCUGAUCCACUGAAGACCACCAGUGGCGAAGGCGGUUUGCCAGAACGCGCUCGACGGUGAGGGAUGAAAGCUGGGGGAGCAAACCGGAUUAGAUACCCGGGUAGUCCCAGCUGUAAACGAUGCAGACUCGGUGAUGGGUUGGCUUUGAGCCAACCCAGUGCCGCAGGGAAGCCGUUAAGUCUGCCGCCUGGGGAGUACGGUCGCAAGACUGAAACUUAAAGGAAUUGGCGGGGGAGCA
rnacentral:rRNA from 1 species